rnacentral:rRNA from 1 species
UACGUAGGCAGCAAGCGUUGUUCGGAGUUACUGGGCGUAAAGAGUAUGUAGGCGGUUGCGUAAGUUCGGUGUGAAAUCUCCCGGCUUAACUGGGAGGGUGCGCCGAAAACUGCGUGGCUUGAGUGCGGGAGAGGAGAGCGGAAUUCCUGGUGUAGCGGUGAAAUGCGUAGAUAUCAGGAAGAACACCCGUGGCUAAGGCGGCUCUCUAGUACGGUACUGACGCUGAGACGCGAAAGCGUGGGGAGCGAACAGG